AACUCACCCUAUAUAAAUAGGGAAUCAUGUAUAUGGUCAAAAUAUAAGAAGAAAAAUUAUUUUUCCUCUAAACUUACUGUUCUCAACAUGGCAUCAGAGCAAGAGCCAAUUUUUUGGCAUAAAUUUCUCUGAACAGUGCCGAGUCUAGGGUUUUAUAAAGGCCAGUACUUGAAGCACUGCCUACGACGGGAGUUGGAUGUCACCACCCACCUCAAACGGCAGCCCACUUGCCGAUCGGCACCUUCCCGGAGGAAUCGCCGCUGUCCGACAACGCGCGUGAAUACACGCACCUUAUUUGUCUCUGGCGUCUCCCACACGCGUUAGCACGUGGACCCCUUUCCGGCAACUUUUUCCGACCGAACCUCCUUCCAGCAACCUCGCCCCUGUACUGCGACUCAGUUUAACCCAUCACUCCUUGCUGGUUUGUGUUUGAUCAUUAAGUUAAUUUUGUAUUUGGUACUAUUUCUGUGAGAAUUCUACUUUUUUAUCACUGCCAGUGUAUUUUCCCUUGUUCAUUGUUAAAUAUGGCUGAUGGAAAGACAGUAGAUUCAAAAAUUAAUUUUGCAAGUGACAAUCCCUAACUGCAAAUUAGUCCUGUGAAGCUGGAUGGAACCAACUAUCUUGCUUGGUCAAGGUCUUGUCUUUUGUUCAUUCAGGUUAGAGGACUACAAAGGUAUCUUACCGGAGAUAAGAAAAAAAAACCUAAUACUUCGACUUCUACCUACAAUCAGUGGGAGUCAGAAAAUUUUCUUAUCAUGUUAUGGCUCAUCAAUUCUAUG
rnacentral:misc_RNA from 1 species